AGCAGCUGAGAAGGGGGUUGAAAAGCAGAGAGAAAAAAUAGCAGAGGGACGUGGCACUCGAGCAAGGAAAAAAUCUCUAAUUGGCCCAGCAAAAGCCGAUCAAACAGUUGGAGUAGCAGCCAAAAAAAUUCCAGCUAAUCCAGAGGAGGGAAACUCGACGAUUUGAAGAAUUUUCCUUUCCAAAGAUUCAGUUUGUAAUUCAUGUUGUUACAAUUGAUUUUUGUUUUGUUUUACUUGCUAUGAGUGGCUAUAUUACUUAAGCUUAGUUAGACACUUAUGAAACCUCGCAC
rnacentral:lncRNA from 1 species